CUUAUCAAAUGAUUUCUAAACAUUAUAUUGCAUUUAUAGUAAUUAGUCAUAAGAUCAACAUACAAGCAUAUAAAAUAUCGUGAUAAAACUUAUAUACCUAGAUUAAGCAGAUCGAGGUACAUGUGUGAACCCACCAUCUCACGAGCGUGGUGGGGAAUAGUCGAUCCAAGCUUAGGAGAAAAAACUGAUCUAUGAAUACAGAUUUAGUUUAUUUAAUUUUUUUAUUUUAUUUUCAUAAUAAUUAAUAACAACUGAUUAAAAUACAUAGUAAAACAAACAAUGAGUAAUUCGUGUUAUAAUGUAAAAACUAUCUGUAUUGAUAACUGAUAAGUCUGAUAACAAAAGAUUAGUGCGCAGGUAUUGAUAAAUGCACAGUACUAUCGACCAAACCCACAGUCAUUGAAAAACUGAACAUAACAGCUCAUUCAUUUUGUGAUUUAUUCGUUGAAACUUCGUUUAAAGGUUUUUUCGUGGCAGUUAGGCAUCAAAAUAGGUAUCCCAGUCAGUAAACCGUACUACUAUCCAGGAAUGCCUCCCCCACACGCGCUGCCCUGCGGCCCGUGGUGCGGCACCGGGCAGUGCUUACCCCACUGCUACCACCGCACCAGGAUCAUUCAGCUCAGCAUGCCGCACCAGCCGCCCUUCAGCCGCCCACCGCAUGGACCGCCGCAUCAUGACGUCAUACACUUCCCACCACCGCAACAUGAGGUCAUUCACUUUCCGCCAUCGCAUCAUGGCCCGCCACAUCAUGGACCGCCACAUCAUGGACCGCCCCAUCAUGGACCGCCGCAUCAUGGGCCGCCCCAUCAUGGUCCGCCACAUCAUGGACCACCGCACCAUGGUCCUGAUCACUUCGGACCAAUGAGACCGCAUUUGCGCUAAAGCGGAUGAGAUUUAUAUCGAGCUGGGAUUAGGCCCUAUAUCGUAUGUUUUUGAGUACUUUUGGUUCGGGAUUCGUAAAAUGUUAAUUUAGAUCUGUAAAUUAUAUAUGUAAGUACAAGAAAAUUUGUACGUUGUGUAUUUGUGUACUUAGGUAUUGAUUAAAAUGAAGUUUUUGGUCGUUGGAUAUCAAAUUGAUUGUUAUUGAGGUACCUAUAUCAAA